AUUGAACGCGGGCGGCAGGCCUAACACAUGCAAGUCGAGCGGUAGAGAGAAGCUUGCUUCUCUUGAGAGCGGCGGACGGGUGAGUAAUGCCUAGGAAUCUGCCUGGUAGUGGGGGAUAACGUUCGGGAACGGACGCUAAUACCGCAUACGUCCUACGGGAGAAAGCAGGGGACCUUCGGGCCUUGCGCUAUCAGAUGAGCCUAGGUCGGAUUAGCUAGUUGGUGAGGUAAUGGCUCACCAAGGCGACGAUCCGUAACUGGUCUGAGAGGAUGAUCAGUCACACUGGAACUGAGACACGGUCCAGACUCCUGCGGGAGGCAGCAGUGGGGAAUAUUGGACAAUGGGCGAAAGCCUGAUCAGCCAUGCCGCGUGUGUGAAGAAGGUCUUCGGAUUGUAAAGCACUUUAAGUUGGGAGGAAGGGUUGUAGAUUAAUACUCUGCAAUUUUGACGUUACCGACAGAAUAAGCACCGGCUAACUCUGUGCCAGCAGCCGCGGUAAUACAGAGGGUGCAAGCGUUAAUCGGAAUUACUGGGCGUAAAGCGCGCGUAGGUGGUUUGUUAAGUUGGAUGUGAAAUCCCCGGGCUCAACCUGGGAACUGCAUUCAAAACUGACUGACUAGAGUAUGGUAGAGGGUGGUGGAAUUUCCUGUGUAGCGGUGAAAUGCGUAGAUAUAGGAAGGAACACCAGUGGCGAAGGCGACCACCUGGACUAAUACUGACACUGAGGUGCGAAAGCGUGGGGAGCAAACAGG
rnacentral:rRNA from 1 species